ensembl:misc_RNA
CUUCCCAACUGCCUCACAAGGACAUCCAUGGCAACCAUAAUUCAUCCUCUUCUUCUGAUGAACUUGCUAGGCAGGAAGCAUCAGUAUGAUAACAGGCAGAUCUUAAUGUUGCUCUUGACCAAUGAGAUGUUUUCUGGCCAUCCAGG